rnacentral:rRNA from 1 species
GAUGAACGCUGGCGGCGUGCCUAAUACAUGCAAGUCGAGCGAACGGACGAGAAGCUUGCUUCUCUGAUGUUAGCGGCGGACGGGUGAGUAACACGUGGAUAACCUACCUAUAAGACUGGGAUAAAUUCGGGAAACCGUAGCUAAUACCGGAUAAUAUUUUGAACCGCAUGGUUCAAAAGUGAAAGACGGUCUUGCUGUCACUUAUAGAUGGAUCCGCGCUGCAUUAGCUAGUUGGUAAGGUAACGGCUUACCAAGGCAACGAUGCAUAGCCGACCUGAGAGGGUGAUCGGCCACACGGGAACUGAGACACGGUCCAGACUCCUACGGGAGGCAGCAGUAGGGAAUCUUCCGCAAUGGGCGAAAGCCUGACGGAGCAACGCCGCGUGAGUGAUGAAGGUCUUCGGAUCGUAAAACUCUGUUAUUAGGGAAGAACAUAUGUGUAAGUAACUGUGCACAUCUUGACGGUACCUAAUCAGAAAGCCACGGCUAACUACGUG